UCCAAGUGCAUCAUAUGCUGUGAAGGAA
rnacentral:sRNA from 1 species